rnacentral:misc_RNA from 1 species
CUCUCUCUCUCUCUCUCCCCUUCCCUCCCCCCUUGCAUAUGCCACUCAUUGUACCCGUCCAAGUUGACAUUGUAUUGAUUAUUCUGAGUAGUUACUUGGGAAGAACUUUGGCAAAUUAACACAAUAAUUGAAAAAAAUAAAUAUUCUUUUUUGUAUGCGUAAAUUUGAGGUAUGGAAAAAUGCUUUGUGUAUCUAUAUCAGACAAAAUUCAGCUAUUAAUGUUGUGAAUAAGCUGGUGUAAAACUGUUGGAAUACUGAUAUCACAAUCAUGGUUUGUUGUUGUUGUCGUAGCUAAUAAUCAGAUCCCAUGAAG